UUAUGGGUCCCUUCUCAAUUAUCUGACAUACACAUAGUCAGGUAUCUUUCUCUAAUAUGCUCUUUUGUUGCUGAGAAGCCAAAGGCAAAAAUGAUACAAGUAAUAGUAAGGCAUAAUGGCCAAAAAAACCAAACUUUUUUUUCCAAUCAUAUCCAACGCUUUUUAUUUUGGCAAUGUUAUCCCAAUUGCCAAACUUUGUUUCAAUUGUAUCCAUUGGUCAAAACUGAAAUAAUUUUUUAUUGCCAAUUAAAAUAAAUAUAUUUUAAAUAUUUUUCUCUCCUCUUUCUGCCCCCAUCUACCCACUCUCUUGCGCUCCACCUCUGCCACCUUCCUAUCUCUUUCCUUCUCCCCCAACCCUUCCCCCUUCUCUCCUUCUCUCAUCCCAACCAUUUGGUGUACAUAUGCAGUGUCAGGCAUGGUAGGUCACCAUUGUAUAUUAACACAAUGUUUCUCUCCUCAUAAAUUAGUACCUCCCCCACCCCCCACCACACCAAAAAAAAAAAGUGUAGCAUGACAUUGGCACCUCCGCUGCCACAAAGAGUUAUGAAUGCUCUGAAUUAGUAACUUUAGGAGAUAACUCUUUCCAAAAACCAUCCGCUAGUCCUAUCAUUAAUGAAAUUGCACAUCUAGCGCAUAAGUGGACAAAACUACUGUUCUCUACCUAGUUGGAGAUUAUAUGGGUUAGGAAAAUUGCCAAAUAGGAGAGAUACAAUUUUUAUUACUGUCCUCGUCAGCUUCUUUGGGAGAUUUUUGUAAUCAAAUACAAACCAAAAGAAAAAAAGAAGAUGAAGAAGAAGAAAGAAAGAAAAGAAGAAAAAAUAAUAACAUAUUUAUUAAGGCUCAACGUGCACUAAGGCGCCGAGGGGCCCUGGAACAUAGGCGCAAGGCGCAAGUGCGCGCCUGAGCAAGGUCAGGCGCAAAAAUUAAAAAAAAAAUCAAUAAAAGUCAAAUAAAUAUGAAUA
rnacentral:misc_RNA from 1 species